GCUUGCUUCAGCAGUGCAUAUACUAAAAUUAGAAUGACACAGAGAUUAGCAUGGCCCCUGCACAAGGAUGACAUGCAAAUUCAUGGAGCACUCUAUAUUUUC